ensembl:lncRNA
CCCGUGAGUACAUAUACGAAGCAUUAUUACCAUAUGGUUCAUUUCUAAACUACAACUCAAGUUUGGAAGAGCAAAGCGUUUGAAAGUACAUUUUUAAAAACUUAAUACAAUCCUAAAGUCUAUAAAAAUCUACAAAGGUAGGUCAAACGAUUGGGACGACCAUGGUAAACAUUUUCUAGUUUAUGUAUUGUUAAAGUUAUUUGAAAAAUCUCCCAGCGAAUUCUAGGUCAUUUAAAUUAUGACAUGUAUGUCAUCUCUUGGGUCAGUGUUUCACAAAAGAUGCUUAACGUUCUUCUGAAAGUCAUACUCAUUUAUAAAAAGAAAUGUCAAAUAUUUAAGAAUACAAUUAACUGCUAGAUUUCAAAUUGGCAGAAUUUAAAAGACUAUAAAGCUUGGCUUCCCAAUGUCUGUAAACAUUACAACCAAAUCUUUAUUAGGCAUGUUUGCACCACUCCCGGCGUUAUAGAAAGCACUUAACAGGCAUGCACUGUUAAAAUUACAAUGCGUGUGUAAUUGUUAUUUGAGAUUUGUUAUAAAAAGGUGUUUACACACUAUGAACACACUCUCCGAGGCUUGGGUGGGUCAGUCUCCACUGACAAUGGGGCAGACUUCCUCAGCAAGCAUUAACCCACCACGAAUUUACUGAAGAAAGUAAUGCACAACCCCAGGGGAUGCCAACCCCACUGUCUUCUGGAGCUGGCAGCACAGCAUCCCUGAGCCACCUCUCCACCCUGACAGCAUCUUGAAAGAUGUGCCCUAGUCGUGACAUGUUAAAGGAAGUAAACCAACCAAAUAAAUUUCUCUUAACACAUGAAAUCAACUCAAACAGGCUCUGCCUUCCUUUUGGAAGAAUGGAACAUGUCUGGAGCCGGUUCUAACCUGGAGCCAAUCUCUUGGUCCUCCCUCUACCAGGCAAUUCUUGGGACCUCCAGGACCAGGGCUAAGCUGCCUGUCUGAGAAGGACAAAGAAUUUAUUUGGGUCCACACACACGUUCACACAAUCGAACUUCUGACCAACGGUAUGGAUAAAAAUGCCCAGCGGACAGCCAGAAUUAGGAACAGAGAUGAGUGUGCCGAGAGCCACACAGCAUCUCAUCACCCUGGUGAUCUCAUUAAUGUGGUUCCCUAGACAACUCGGCUAAAAAACCACAGAAGCCCUAGAACCAGAAAAUAAACGCUCAAUAGGCGCUUACAGGAGGCCUCACCAUGGAGGCUCCAGAAGGACCGCAGAGGAGGGAUGUGGAGCCCGUCUGGGUGCGGGAGGAAGGUGCUGACAGGUGCAAACCAUACCAGCUGGACUCAGGCUGUGUGGUCUGAGGGCUGCUAGCGGGAGUGGGGCUUUAAGCUUCUGGGGAUGCACUUGAGUGCCCCCAGUGCAUCCCGAAUUAACAUGCCACAGUUUUAAGGUUCAACUGAAAACCUUCUUGCUUAGAAGUUCAAACAUACUUUCUCUCAGAAAAACAUUAUACAUGUUGAUCAAAAAAGAUCUUAUUUGGAGUUCCCGUCGUGGCGCAGUGGUUAACGAAUCCGACUAGGAACCAUGAGGUUGCGGGUUCGGUCCCUGCCCUUGCUCAGUGGGUUAACGAUCCGGCGUUGCCGUGAGCUGUGGUGUAGGUUGCAGACGCGGCUCGAAUUCCGUGUUGCUGUGGCUCUGGUGUAGGCCGAUGGCUACAGCUCCGAUUCAACCCCUAGCCUGGGAACCUCCAUAUGCCACGGGAGUGGCCCAAGAAAUAGCAAAAAGACAAAAAAAAAAAAAAAAAAGAUCUUAUUUAAUAAGUUCUCAUCUAAACUUUAGACACAUGGCAUGGACCUCAGGGCUAUCUAGCUGUCUUGGACUAUUUGAACUGCUGUUAUGUAUCAAUUAAAACUGUCACUAGCUAGCCAUUGGUAUGAACAUCUAAACUAUUAAAUAAUCAAACUCAAAUGUUAAACUAUCUCUCAACUAUUACACAUUAAUCUCAAUGCACAUUUUAUGCAAUUCUGCUGUGGUCCAUACAAAUACUUUUCCCCAAAAGAUUCAAAACAUGUGCUAACUGAAAUUUUCCAAGUUUCUAAGACAACUUUAAACAUAUUGAAACAGAAAAUUCACUCUCACUUGCCUUUAUCCUGACAAUGAAAUAUCACACUUUUCAUACAGUGACCUACCCUCUCUACCUUCUUUCUACCCCACACAGACGAAAACUCAAAUCAAGAGGCCUCUUCUACUCAGCAGUGAUCCCUCCUGUCCCACCGCAAUCUUACUUGUUACUUGGGCUGCAUGAGAAGACAGUUCAAGUCUGACAUAUUUGCGAAGAUACCCUUUUAUCUUUAAAAUUUUUUAAAUCAUACAAGUUUUCUGUGAGAAAAAUUUAGAAAAAUCGAGUGUUUCUAGUUUCAUAAGGAGCAGGAAACAAUCAGUAUACUGAAUGUUACUACUUUUUCCCAGUUUUCACUGUAUUUUUUUCUAGAAAGAACGAAAGACGUGUAACAGUCUCAAAAAUCUGUGGAUAAUUUAAAUAGAUGGCCAACAUUAAAAAAUUUAUUUAAAUCCACUUCUUUCUUUAUGAAGGACAGACAGAAGGCAAGAAUCAGAUCAACGAUCCUUCACUACAUGGUAGAACUAAACUCUUAGAGGGAAAAAAAGGCUUAAUUUAAAAUUUUUCUUGUAAGAGGAUUUAACUUCAGUGAACAUCAUAAAAGAUUUGCACCACCUGGUGGAAAAGCAAAGAUUCAAACACAUUAAACCUCUUUAUUAUAGAGUGUUUCUUGGCUGCACUGGGAUCAAAGGCCCCUUCAGAACUCUGAUGAAAGCCCUGGGUCCCCUCCUCUAAAAGCAGGUGUGUGCACGCACACUCGCGCGCGUGCACACACACACACACACACACACACAAAGUAAUGUGCACUUUCAACAACCCCUGCAUCUGGCAGUAGAAAACAUUCAUCUUGGGAGUUCCCAUUGUGGCUCAGUAGAAACAAACCCGACUAGUAUCCACGAGGACACAAGUUUGAUCCCUGGCCUCGCUCAGUGGGUUAAGGAUCUGGCAUUGCCUUGAGCUGUAGUUGUAGGUCGCAGAAGCGGCUCAGAUCCGGUGUUACUGUGGCUGUGGUGCAGGCCAGCAGCUUCAGCUCCGAUUCAACUCCUAGCUUGGGACCUCCAUAUGCC